rnacentral:rRNA from 1 species
AUUGAACGCUGGCGGCAGGCCUAACACAUGCAAGUCGAGCGGAUGAGUGGAGCUUGCUCCAUGAUUCGGCGGCGGACGGGUGAGUAAUGCCUAGGAAUCUGCCUGGUAGUGGGGGACAACGUUUCGAAAGGAACGCUAAUACCGCAUACGUCCUACGGGAGAAAGCAGGGGACCUUCGGGCCUUGCGCUAUCAGAUGAGCCUAGGUCGGAUUAGCUAGUAGGUGAGGUAAAGGCUCACCUAGGCGACGAUCCGUAACUGGUCUGAGAGGAUGAUCAGUCACACUGGAACUGAGACACGGUCCAGACUCCUACGGGAGGCAGCAGUGGGGAAUAUUGGACAAUGGGCGAAAGCCUGAUCCAGCCAUGCCGCGUGUGUGAAGAAGGUCUUCGGAUUGUAAAGCACUUUAAGUCGGGAGGAAGGGCAGUAAGUUAAUACCUUGCUGUUUUGACGUUACCAACAGAAUAAGCACCGGCUAACUACGUGCCAGCCGCCGCAGUAACAC